AUCAUUUGAAGCCUUCUAUAUCUAUCUUCUAUGUUCUCUCUCUAUGUUCUCUCUCGCUCUCUCUAUACUUCUCUCUUCCCCCUUUCUUCUACGGCGAGAAACACUCGGUGAUGCGGCAGUGAGAAUAGCGACAUCGGCGAUGCGACGGUUAUUUGUGCUAGGGUAGACAACAUGGAGAGGAAGAGGUCGUCGAGGGACACAACGGUGGAGAGCGGCGGCACGGGGAGGAGAUUUCAGGGGUGGAGUUCGAGGAAUGGUAUUAGUGAUUUGAGGAGGAGGAGGAGGUUGUCGAAUUGGGGAGUGGCGGCGGCUCUCUCAAGAGUAAUCAACGGAGAUCCUUCUCCUAGGGUUUAGUCGCGCACGGUACAAGAUGGUGAAUUUGUAGUUGGUUUUCAAUAAUUUGUAGUUGGUUCUGGUGAUUUUGUAAUUGAUUUCAGAUAUUUUUGUAGUUGAUUUUGGUGAUUUUAUAGUUAAUUAUGAUUUUUGUACAGUCGUUUUUGUUAUAAUAAAUAGUUGUUC
rnacentral:lncRNA from 1 species